CCAAGAUUUGUCAGAAUGUAAUUAUCAAUUCAGUUACUUUUCUAUCCACAACAGUACUAAAUUAUACCUUGCAUGCUGUGGCUGUAUCUUUGUUUCACA